rnacentral:rRNA from 1 species
GAUCCUGCCGGAGGCCAUUGCUAUCGGAGUCCGAUUUAGCCAUGCUAGUUGUGCGGGUUUAGACCCGCAGCGGAAAGCUCAGUAACACGUGGCCAAACUACCCUGUGGAUGGGAACAAUCUCGGGAAACUGAGGCUAAUUCCCAAUAACGCUCCACCCCUGGAACGGGCGGAGCUGGAAACGCUACGGCGCCACAGGAUGUGGCUGCGGUCGAUUAGGUAGACGGUGGGGUAACGGCCCACCGUGCCAAUAAUCGGUACGGGUUGUGAGAGCAAGAGCCCGGAGACGGAAUCUGAGACAAGAUUCCGGGCCCUACGGGGCGCAGCAGGCGCGAAACCUUUACACUGUACGCAAGUGCGAUAAGGGGACUCCGAGUGUGAAGGCAUAGAGCCUUCACUUUUGUACACCGUAAGGUGGUGUACGAAUAAGGGCUGGGCAAGACCGGUGCCAGCCGCCGCGGUAAUACCGGCAGCCCGAGUGAUGGCCGAUAUUAUUGGGCCUAAAGCGUCCGUAGCUGGCCGGACAAGUCCGUUGGGAAAUCUGUUCGCUUAACGAGCAGGCGUCCAGCGGAAACUGUUCGGCUUGGGACCGGAAGACCUGAGGGGUACGUCCGGGGUAGGAGUGAAAUCCUGUAAUCCUGGACGGACCACCGGUGGCGAAAGCGCCUCAGGAGGACGGAUCCGACAGUGAGGGACGAAAGCUAGGGUCUCGAACCGGAUUAGAUACCCGGGUAGUCCUAGCUGUAAACGAUGCCCGCUAGGUGUGGCGCMGGCUACGAGCCUGCGCUGUGCCGUAGGGAAGCCGAGAAGCGGGCCGCCUGGGAAGUACGUCUGCAAGGAUGAAACUUAAAGGAA